rnacentral:rRNA from 1 species
UACGUAGAAGACUAGUGUUAUUCAUCUUUAAUAGGUUUAAAGGGUACCUAGACAGGAAAUUAAGUCAUAAAUGAAACUAAUUUUCUAGAGUUUUAUGUAAGAAAAAAAUGAAUUUUCUGGAGAAAAGUUGAUAUUUAAUGAUACUAGAAAGACGGGCAACAUGCGAAGGACAAUUUUCUAUGUAAAAACUGACGUUGAGGAACGAAGCCCUAGGGUAACAAGAAGG